UUCUGGGAGGAUUGACAGAUUAAGAGCUCCUUCUUGAUUCUGUGGGUAGUGGUGCAUGUCCGUUCUUAGUUGGUGGAGCGAUAUGUCCUGUUAUUUCUGAUAACGAACGAGACUCUAGCCUACUAAAUAGGUGCGUGGUUCUCUGCACCUUGCACCCCCUCUUAGAGGGACAAUCGGCUCCAAGCCGCACGAAACAGAGCAAUAACAGGUCUGUGAUGCCCUUAGAU
rnacentral:ncRNA from 1 species